GAUCCUGGCUCAGAAUCAACGCUGGCGGCGUGCCUAACACAUGCAAGUCGAACGCGAAAGGGGCUUCGGCCCUGAGUAGAGUGGCGAACGGGUGAGUGACACGUGGGUGAUCUACCUCUGAGUGGGGGAUAACCUUCCGAAAGGAGGGCUAAUACCGCAUGACGUUCUGGGUUUGAAGACCCGGAAACCAAAGCUGGGGACCGCAAGGCCUGGCGCUUGGAGAGGAGCCCGCGCCUGAUUAGCUAGUUGGCGGGGUAAUGGCCCACCAAGGCAACGAUCAGUAGCCGGCCUGAGAGGGCGGACGGCCACACUGGGACUGAGACACGGCCCAGACUCCUACGGGAGGCAGCAG
rnacentral:rRNA from 1 species